UCUCGAUAGCGUAAAAGUUAACUCAAGUUUUUAUGGAGUUGAAACUUUUGCCUACGUUCGCCGCUAGGUACGCUGUUCCAACUGCAUACAAAUUUGAGUUAACUUUUACGCUAUCGA
rnacentral:pre_miRNA from 9 species